rnacentral:rRNA from 1 species
AUUGAACGCUGGCGGCAGGCCUAACACAUGCAAGUCGAACGAGUGGCGCACGGGUGAGUCAUGUCUGGGAAACUCCCCGAAGGCUGGGGAUAACUACUGGAACCGGUAGCUAAUACCGCAUACCAUCCGAUGUUCCCAGAUGGCAUUAGCUAGUAGGUGGGGUAACGGCUAACCAAGGCAACGAUCCCUAGCUGGUCUGAGAGGAUGAUCGGCCACACGGGAACUGAGACACGGUACAGACUCCUACGGGAGGCAGCAGUGGGGAAUAUUGCACAAUGGGCGAAAGCCUGAUGGAGCCAUGCCGCGUGUAUGAAGAAGGCCUUCGGGUUGUAAAGUACUUUCAGCGGGGAGGCGUUACUCGCAGAGGAAGCAACGGCUAACUCCGUGCCAGCAGCCGCGGUAAUAC